GACAGAGGCCCCGAGCGUUAGGCGGAAUCACUGGGCUUAAAGCGUGUGUAGGCGGGCCCGUAAGUGUCUUGUGAAAUCCCACGGCUCAACCGUGGAACUGCUGGGCAUACUGCGGGUCUUGGGCCAACUAGGGGCAGCCGGAACAAGCGGUGGAGCGGUGAAAUGCGUAGAUAUCGCUUGGAACGCCGAAGGUGAAAACAGGCUGCUGGGGUUGCGCCGACGCUGAGACACGAAAGCCAGGGGAGCAAACGGGG
rnacentral:rRNA from 1 species